rnacentral:rRNA from 1 species
CCUACGGGUGACAGCAGUAGGGAAUUUUCGGCAAUGGGGGGAACCCUGACCGAGCAACGCCGCGUGAACGAAGAAGUUAUUCGUAUUGUAAAGUUCUUUUAACAGGGAAGAAAGAGAAAUUUGACGGUACCUGAAGCAUAAGCUCCGGCUAACUCCGUGCCAGCAGCCGCGGUAAUACGUAGGGAGCGAGCGUUAUCCGGAAUUAUUGGGCGUAAGGGGUGCGUAGAUGGCAUAGUAAGUCUUUUGUAAAUAUGCUGGGCUAAACCCAGUAGGGCAAAAGAUACUGCAAAGCUAGAGUAUGAGAGAGGCAAGUGGAACUACAUGUGUAGCGGUAAAAUGCGUAAAUAUAUGUAAGAACACCAGUGGCGAAGGCGGCUUGCUGGGUCGAUACUGACAUUGAGGCACGAAAGCGUGGGGAGCAAACAGGAUUAGAUACCCUUGUAGUC